AACCCUCCAAAUUUUUGUCCAAUCACGUCCCUUUGACGUGCAUGUGCACCAAACGUACCUGUUUCCCCCUCAAUAUAAAUGCCAUGAAGAGAGCAACAAUGCGCUUUGCUAUUACUAUAGCUAAUACCAAGGUUUUUGGUUUUAAGUCAUGGAGAAGAGCAAGUCAUUCCCGGAAUACUCUUCAUCAUUUUCCGGCGAAUUCGACUUUGAAAACCGAUCAAAUUCGUAUAACUUCAACGGGCCAUGCAGCAAAAGCAACGGAUUCGCAGCAUCAAAUGAUCCGGAGCUUAAGAGGAAGAAGAGAAUCGCCUCGUACAACGUGUUUACGAUGGAAGGUAAGGUAAAGUCAAGUGUUAGGAGCAGCUUCAAGUGGAUCAAGAGCAAGUUUAGCGAUGUUCGUUAUGGUAUGUAAGUUGUAAAAAGUAAAAAGAUGUUCACUUCUUCUUUCUUUAACAAGUUUAGCUCCCAUUGUAUACAGUUAGUUUGUGUCAUGGUCUUUUUUCUGUUUGGAAAUUAGAGGGAAGAAUUUUCUCUCUUGCAAAAAGAAGAAACAGAAACCCAAUGAAAUUGGGUUAUGUGGAGUCUACUCUUGCAUGCCAACUAAUAUACAAGUUUGGUCGUUUGGGCUGUAAUAUGUUUUGGUGAAAAAUGCAUAAGUUUAAUUUUCAUUCUCUAUCCUUAAUCUUCCAUUAGAUUGUUUUCUUGUGAUGUUCUCUAGGCCAGAUAGGAUGGACUUUGGAUGCUAAAGGAAAAGGGGACAGAAGAAAGAAGUAGAAACUUUCUAUUUCUCUAACACUUUGAACUAACAUGAUUCCAAUCAAGUAUACUUUUGCUCUGAUCAUCAGUAUUUUCAAGGGCCAAAAUAAGAGAUAUAUAUAUAUAUAAUAGCUACCUAGGCAAAGGAUUGGCCAGGAACAGCACUUGCCAAAUAACUUAAAAAUCUAACAUAUGACUCUUCAUUUUUUAUCAUUUGGUUAGAUGUUUGAGGGGGCUAAUGGAGCCUCAUCAUGAAUUCCACCUUUGUAUUUGUAAGAAGUUAAUCAUAUAGGUAUAGAAAUUAUGUGCAAUCCAAGUAUACAUGCAAAGGCAUUUGUUUCACAUGAAAUCAUUUCUUUCUACCCCAUAUUUCCCUUCUUUAGCCAAAUGUUGAUUGAAAAAUUAGCAAUAAAAUUUUCCACUUGUAUAACCAACCAGAAGAAACAACAACUUUAGAUUUAUUGACAAUGGAUUCCCAAUCAAAUGCUCAUCCAAGGUUUCAAACCAUAUAUUUUAUGUGACUAAGAUAUAAUUUGAUUUGUAGUCACACGUUAUAUAUUGUCAAAUUCAAAGCUCUCCGACCCUAACUAACUAUAUAUCCCAUAGUUCAUUUAAAAUACUACACUUAUUUAUGUGGAGCAGCCCCAGUUAGCUCACAUAAUAAACAAGUGUGUUGAUGUAGGACUGUGGUGCUGGUGGCUACAGUUACUCCCUUGGGCAAUUGUGUGGCCCAAGCUAAAGAGGGCCACAAAGGCUCUAAAGCCGAAGGGGGGUGCAAUAAUAUUAUUGAAGUAGACAUGCAAUAAAAGAAAGAAAGCAAACAUGAAGAAAACAGGGUUGGGUGUUUGUGAUAUAGAUGGCAACUGGCAAGGUGAGGAGCCAUGUAUGAUGUAUUUGAAGCUAAUGAUUGAAAGUGACAACCAACCCUCGAUCACUCACCACGCUUAUUCGUACACGGAUGCUAAUAUUUCCAUUAAUUAUUAAGUUUGCAGCUCGUGUUUGGGAGCUGGGUAGCGGAGGCCGGUUUCGAAUGCUCCUACUAGCACUAGAAUGAACAUGGGUGUGUGGGGAUAUCUUCUGGCCAGAAGAAGCAACUGGAGAGAGAAAAAGGGAAGGGCUCUCCACCUGGGUGGGCUUUGAACCUGAUGAGGUGCUGGUGGUACUGCUGCUAGGUUCUUGGACUUGCACAUUUGGCUCAGCAGUUUUCUCAGUGUCCUGAAACGCCAUAAGUUGAUAUACUAUUAAAGAGCAUUAAAUUAAUAUAGUACUCAACAAGAUUGUUGGACAAGAACUAGUACCAACAUUAAAACUAGGAAGUUAAGUGUAUGCUAUUUAAUGUGCUUGUUUUCUUGUUUAAUUGAAAUGGUUGGUUAUAUCUGAAAUUUCCUUGA